ACACACCGGUGGCUUCGAGGCUAAACAUAUAAAAGGUGAGAUUUUACGUUUUCAGGCAUUUUCCCCCUUCCUUUCUCUCUCUAUCCUCAUAAGCUAUCCUCUCUCUCUCUCUCUCUCUCUCUCUCUCUCUCUCUCUCUCUCUCGCGAUCUAAAACCUUGGUUCAUAUCUUCAUCUCCCAAAAACCCUAACCUACUUUGGUUUUGUUCUUUAACUCUUUGAUGGUUCUCGGAAAAAAAAAAAAAAAAAAAAGCCCUUUGUUGCUCUUUCUUUCAACUCCCUUGAAUGAUCUGAAACCCUGGUUCAGAUUUUCAUCUCCCUUUGUUUUCUCACUCCUUGAAAACUCCCUUGAUUUCCCUUAUCUAUCCUAUUUUAAACUAUUAGAAAACCUAACCCUUUGUCCUUUCAAAAAAUCAAGAACCCUAAUUCUUAUUUUACAGCUUCCCUCUUUCUCUGUUAAAUUGUUACCCCAAAUUUGUUCGCCUUUAUAGUGGCGAAUUGUAAAACACCCGAGGGUGUUCCAAUGGUGAAGUUCGGUGCUAGAUCUAGGAUGGGGGGUCUAUUCGGUUCUCGAAGGUGCAAUAGAUAAGUAUUACCCCCUACUCAAUCUUUUUGUUUUUUUUUUUUGUGCGUGAUUGUGUGUAUGAUCCGUCAUUACAUGUGGGUUAAGUGUUGAUCUGAUGUUGUGUGCUCGUGUUUAAGCGAUUCUAGGGUUUUCAAAUCCAAAGGUUAGGGUUCAGGGACGAGUCAACUCGUCCGAACCCUAACCCGUUGAGUUGCUACGGGGUUGACUCGCAUGAGUCAACCCCUGGGUUAUGUGGGCUUAGAUGUGCCCCGAGUGGGCCUAGGGGACUUGACACGUGUUGGGUUUGGGUUAAAAUGUGUUGUGGGCUUAGUUUCUUUUUUAAAGAAAAUGGGCUUCGGGUUAAAAAAAAAAAAGUCAAUUGGCUUAGGUUUAAAAUGUUUGGUGGGCUCGGGUUCUUUUAAAAACAUGGGCUUGGGUUAUUUAAAAUAAAUGGACUCGGGUUUUAAAAAGUUAGUGGGCUCGGGUUCUUUUAAAAACAUGGGCUUGAGUUAUUUAAAAUAAAUGGACUCGGGUUUAAGAAAAAUUAGUGGGCUCAAGUUUUUUAAAAACAUGGGCCUGGGUUAUUAAAAAUAAAUGGGCUCGGGUUUAAGAAAAAUUAGUGGGCUCGAGUUCUUUUAAAAACAUGGGUCUGGGUUAUUAAAAAUAAAUGGGCCCAGGUUUAAUAAAAAUUAGUGGGCUCGAGUUCAAAAAAUGUUUUGCGAGCCUAGGUUCUUUAAAGUGGGCUUUGGGUCUCUUUUUUAAAAUAGAUGGGCUUGGUGGUUUUCUAAAACGUUUGUGUGCUUGCUUUCUUUUUUAACGUGUGGGCCUUAAGGGGGCUUAGAAGUGAGUCAGGCUGAAUGGGACUUGGUUAGGGUUUGGUUCAGUUAUGGGUUCAGUGGGACUAAGACAGGUUCAAUUCAGGUUCAGGUUCAGGUUCAGGGGGCUUGGUCGGGGUUCAGUUCAGGUUUAGGUUUAGGAUUGAACACAAAUUUGGGUUUGAGUUCCUACAUUCAGAGUCUCAUACACAGUCUAAUAUUAUAAGCCAAGAAGGAAAAGCCUUCAGUUACCUUGUGUCUUCCUCUCCUCUGGUCUUCUUGUCCUUCUUGUGAGUCUGUUAGGUAUUGGUCUAGGGUGUCCUUCUGGGGAUGACUUCUAAGUUCUGAAUGUAGGCACUACAGAGCCCCUUCUUCAAAUGGGGUGGUCAGGCAACGGGUGUGCCUUUUAAGGGGAUGCCUCUGAUUUUUGAGAGCCUUGUAGGAUUGCUACUACUUUGAAAACUUCUUCAGGAACUUCUUUCUUUCGGCCUCUAUCUGUCUUCCUUGCUCUCAGUAUGCACUCCUUCUCUUCUUCGCUCAAUUUUUUGUGUAUUACUUUGUGCGAGACUCCCCUAUUUAUAGGGUUGGUCCUAAGUCAGCUUAGGUAAGGUUAGGUCAGUCUUUUUUCUUUCUUCUUUCCUUCCUAGCAGCAAUCAAUUGUUGGCUUUCCUUCUAACAGCGAUCCAUUCCCAAAUUCUUGCGAUUGGGCUAAUUCUCCAAUUAAUGGAGAUUCUAGGCGCGAGUCUGAGGAGGGAACAUUUCAAAUUUUGUCUAACAUUUUGCAAUAUUCACUAGGAGAUUGUUUCCAAAUUGGUUUUCCACUAAGGGAACCUGAAGAUGCUUUAGCAUAUUCCAGUGUGUGCCAAUUGAAGAUUUUUUAUUUUCAAUAUUUUCCUUAUAUUUCCUUUGUAUUUAUUGUAUUCCUUUGUACUUCCCUAUAUUGUACAUUAUUUCCCUGUAUUGUAUUUCUAUGUAUCUCAACAUUUCUCUAUACUUCAGCACUCCCCGUAUUCCUUGUACCUCAUGACUUGGGCAUGUGGCCACUUAAUAAAAUGUUUAUUUGGUCAC